GAUGAAGAACGCAGCGAAAUGCGAUAAGUAAUGUGAAUUGCAGAAUUCAGUGAAUCAUCGAAUCUUUGAACGCACAUUGCGCCCCUUGGUAUUCCAUGGGGCAUGCCUGUUCGAGCGUCAUUUGUACCUUCAAGCUUUGCUUGGUGUUGGGUGUUUGUCUCGCCUUUGCGUGUAGACUCGCCUUAAAAUAAUUGGCAGCCGGCGUAUUGAUUUCGGAGCGCAGUACAUCUCGCGCUUUGCACUCAUAACGACAGCGUCCAAAAGUACAUUUUACACUCUUGACCUCGGAUCAGGUAGGGAUACCCGCUGAACUUAAGCAUAUCAAUAAGCGGAGGA
rnacentral:misc_RNA from 1 species